rnacentral:rRNA from 1 species
GAUGAACGCUGGCGGCGUGCUUAACACAUGCAAGUCGAACGGAAAGGCCCAAGCUUGCUUGGGUACUCGAGUGGCGAACGGGUGAGUAACACGUGGGUGAUCUGCCCUGCACUUCGGGAUAAGCCUGGGAAACUGGGUCUAAUACCGGAUAGGACCACUUCUUGGAUGUUGUGGUGGAAAGUUUUUUCGGUGUGGGAUGAGCUCGCGGCCCAUCAGCUUGUUGGUGGGGUAAUGGCCUACCAAGGCGUCGACGGGUAGCCGGCCUGAGAGGGUGUACGGCCACAUUGGGACUGAGAUACGGCCCAGACUCCUACGGGAGGCAGCAGUGGGGAAUAUUGCACAAUGGGCGCAAGCCUGAUGCAGCGACGCCGCGUGGGGGAUGACGGCCUUCGGGUUGGAAACUCCUUUCGCUAGGGACGAAGCGUUUUGUGACGGUACCUGGAGAAGAAGCACCGGCUAACUACGUG